UACGAAGGGGGCUAGCGUUGUUCGGAAUUACUGGGCGUAAAGCGCACGUAGGCGGGUUGUUAAGUCAGGGGUGAAAUCCUGGAGCUCAACUCCAGAACUGCCUUUGAUACUGGCAACCUAGAGACUGGAAGAGGUUAGUGGAAUUCCCCAGUGUAGAGGUGAAAUUCGUAGAUAUUGGGAAGAACACCAGUGGCGAAGGCGGCUAACUGGUCCAGCACUGACGCUGAGGUGCGAAAGCGUGGGGAGCAAA
rnacentral:rRNA from 1 species